GAAGCCAGCCGGAUAAGUCUCUUGGGAAAUCUGGCAGCUUAACUGUCAGGCUUUCCAGGGGAUACUGUCUGGCUCGAGGCCGGGAGAGGUGAGAGGUACUUCAGGGGUAGGGGUGAAAUCUUGUAAUCCUUGAAGGCCACCAGUGUGCCAAGGCGUCUCACCAGAACGGACCUGACGGCAAUGGACGAAAGCUAGGGGCACGAACCGGAUUAGAUACCCGGGUAGUCCUAGCCGUCUAACGAUACUCGCUAGGUGUCGGCCACGGUGCCUACCGUUGUCGGUGCCGUA
rnacentral:rRNA from 1 species